GGCUUGUCCGAAAGUAGUGCAUUAUCUCAAUUGAUUGUUCACAGUUACAGAUCGAACUCCUCAUCCUACUCUUUCCCCCGUCUCACUACUGCACUUGACUAGUCUUUU
ensembl:misc_RNA Y_RNA Y RNA